rnacentral:lncRNA from 1 species
AUGAUUAGAGCCUAGGAUAUGUAUCUAGUUCUCAUAUGUAUUUUGUGUUGAUCAUGUACUUUGUACUUUGAUUGAGGAACAUUGUAUUUGUUUUGUUUUGGCAUUAUUGUAUUACAAUGUUCCAUUUUGAUCAAUAAAACUGAAAUAUUUGUUAAUUAUUGUGUCUAUUCCCAUGCACCUAUUUGAUGAUAACAAAAAGGGGGAGAAGCAAGGAAAGAGAAAUAAGUUGAGCAAGGAAAGAGAAAUAAGUUGACAAACAAGUUGAACAUUAUAAUAGGAAAGGAUAUACAUUUAAGGGGGAGCAAUUUGUAACAAUGAAAAUGUUAAAGUCUAAGAUUUAAAUCGAAUUUCAGAAUUUGGCAUAUAGAAUUUCAGAAUUUGGCACAUACCUUUCACACCUCGAUACAUAAUCUGAAACUCAUGCUUUAUCUCAAAUUUUUGAAGUUUCAUCUUUAAUGAAAUAUAAAAGAAAGGGAGAGUAAUUCAAAAGUCAAAUUGGAA